rnacentral:rRNA from 1 species
UACGAAGGGGGCUAGCGUUGCUCGGAAUCACUGGGCGUAAAGCGCACGUAGGCGGAUUGUUAAGUCAGGGGUGAAAUCCUGGAGCUCAACUCCAGAACUGCCUUUGAUACUGGCGAUCUUGAGUCCGGGAGAGGUGAGUGGAACUGCGAGUGUAGAGGUGAAAUUCGUAGAUAUCGGGAGGAACACCGGUGGCGAAGGCGGCGACCUGGGUUGACAUUGACGCUGAGGCGCGAAAGCGUGGGGAGCAAACAGG